GCCAGCCGCCGCGGUAAUACGAAGGUGGCAAGCGUUACCCGGAUUUAUUGGGCGUAAAGGGUCCGCAGACGGUCUAAAAAGUUCUUGGUCAAAUCUUGAGGCUCAACUUCAAGACUGCCAAGAAAACUCUUAGACUAGAGACUGGGAGAGGCAAGUGGAAUUGCCGGUGUAGUAGUAAAAUGCGUUGAUAUCGGCAGGAACACCAAAAGCGAAGGCAACUUGCUAGAACAGUUCUGACGUUCAGGGACGAAAGCGUGGGUAGCGAAUGGGAUUAGAUACCCCAGUAGUCCACGCCGUAAACGAUGGGUACUAAGCAUUAGGAGUAUCGACCCUCUUAGUGCUGUUUAACUAAGCUAACGCCUUAAGUACCCCGCCUGGGAAAGUACGGCCCGCAAGGCUAAAACUCAAAGGAAUUGACGGGAACCCGCACAAGCGGUGGAGCAUGUGGUUUAAUUCGACGCUUAAGCGAGGAACCUUACCAAGACUUGACAUCUAGCUGCAACUCUAGGAAACUAGAGCUUCUUCGAGAGUGCUAGACAGGUGGUUGCAUGGUUGUCGUCAGCUUCGUGUCGUGAGAUGUUGGGUUAAGUCCCUUAACGAGCCAACCCUUAUCCUAUGUAAAUAGUCAUAGGAAACUGCCCGGUUAACCGGGAGGAAGGUGAGGAUGACGUCAAUCAGCAUGGCCUUAUUGUUGGCAACA
rnacentral:rRNA from 1 species